GAAAAAGAGAUAUUGCUAAUGGUAUGGACAGGAGAAUUCCAGAAGGACUUGCCAUAUAGUGCAUCUCCGGAGAAAACUGUCAACAUAUAUUUUCUGACUAUAUUCAGCUGACUUGAUCCCUCUUCCCUCCAGAGAACUUGGAGAAGACUGAGAAGCACUUAGGCCUGUUCCAGAACUUCAAAUCUAUUUGAGGUAUUGAAG
rnacentral:lncRNA from 1 species